rnacentral:rRNA from 1 species
GCUUAACCGGAGAAGUGCAUCGGAAACUGAUAAACUUGAGUACAGAAAAGGACAGUGGAACUUCAUGUGUAGCGGUGAAAUGCGUAGAUAUAUGAAGGAACACCAGUGGCGAAGGCGGCUAUCUGGUCUGUAACUGACGCUGAGGCUCGAAAGCAUGGGUAGCAAACAGGAUUAGAUACCCUGGUAGUCCAUGCCGUAAACGAUGAAUGCUAGGUGUUGGAAGGUUUCCGCCUUUCAGUGCCGCAGCUAACGCAUUAAGCAUUCCGCCUGGGGAGUACGACCGCAAGGUUGAAACUCAAAGGAAUUGACGGGGACCCGCACAAGCGGUGGAGCAUGUGGUUUAAUUCGAUGCUACGCGAAGAACCUUACCAGGACUUGACAUCUUCUGCCAAUCUAAGAGAUUAGACGUUCCCUUCGGGGACAGAAUGACAGGUGGUGCAUGGUUGUCGUCAGCUCGUGUCGUGAGAUGUUGGGUUAAGUCCCGCAACGAGCGCAACCCUUGUCUUUAGUUGCCAGCAUUAAGUUGGGCACUCUAGAGAGACUGCCGGUGAUAAACCGGAGGAAGGUGGGGAUGACGUCAAAUCAUCAUGCCCCUUAUGUCCUGGGCUACACACGUGCUACAAUGGGCGAUACAACG